CACGGACAAAAACAGCUUUCAUAGGUGGCAUCGACACCCAUUACGGAUGGCUCUAUUACUGUUUCGGAAAGCUUAAUCAGUGAUCAAAUCAACAGUUGACAGAGCUCGUGAGCACCGGCCGCUCGACGUCAGCGUCGCCGCGCGCUCGGCCGGCCGCAGUGGCGCGAGGCCGCCGGCGCGCGCGCACGUGCGCCAUUGCCUCCCAGUGGUGCUGGUGGCGCUGGCGCACAGAGCAUGGCUACUUGCGCCAAUGUACCUACGACAUCCCUAGCAAUCUUAGUAACCAUAUUCGGUCUACAAGAGAAACGCAUCCGCAAGCUUACGCCGCGACCUUAUAUAGACACACUCGUUGUGAGUUUUCAAUUUUUCAUUGUAGAGGUCCUAAACAAAAGAACUCGCGCUGUACUGUGAUACAAACAAGCUUUCACCGACGGAUACCUUGGAUCUAAAGUGUGGAGUGGUCUAGCACUGCGCAGUGUGAGACGUGCAUUUCAUUUAUUUUAUACGACUCCCACUCCCGAUGUUAUGGAACGCAAGUAGUAUUGUCUCGGCGCCCUAUAUGAAUUCGUCUUGUUUGGUGUGGACGCACCAGGUCGGUGCGGCAGACUGCACGAGGAGAGCAGCGGACGCCGCGGGCGGCAGCGGACGCAGCACUCUCGCGCAAACUAAUUUCAAUCGCAAUUCAACGCGGGAAUGCUGCCUGCGUGAUGGUUACCAAGGGCGGUCAAUUUUGAUAAGUAUUUUUAAGUAUUAGUUUUAAUUUAUUUUAACGUAAGCCUAGUUUAAUCGUACUAUUUGUGUUUUAAUAAAACUAUUUUUUUAUUUUCUAUUAUCA